rnacentral:rRNA from 1 species
UACGGGGGGGAGCAAGCGUUGUUCGGAUUUACUGGGCGUAAAGGGCGCGUAGGCGGCCACCGCAAGUCGACUGUGAAAUCUCCGGGCUUAACCCGGAAAGGUCAGCCGAUACUGCGGGGCUAGAGUGCAGAAGGGGCAACUGGGAAUUCUCGGUGUAGCGGUGGAAAUGCGUAGAUAUCGAGAGGAACACCUGUGGCGAAAGCGGCUCAC